GCUCGUUUAACGUACUGAGUAAGAAUAUAUUUUAAGUUUUGAGUUUCGACCCCAUUUGGUCACUGAAAACUGUACCGAACUGUAAUCUUUAUCAGAUAGCUGUCGGAUUUUAUUUCUCACUCUACGGGUGUUAGAAAAAUAUGAAACAUUAAAUCUAGCCUCAUAAAAAUACUUUUGACUUAUCCUCCAAUUUUCAUAAUUUUCUGAGACUGUGCAUUUUCCGCUAAUUUAUCUGUCCCGUUUCAAACAGAAAAUUCUAAAUCUUCUGUUUUCAUUCCGAUUUCAGCAUAAGUCACUUCUGACUUAUGUUUUACUCCUAAAAAUUCAAUAAAAAUAGUUUCUCACACUAUUUUUAUUUAUUUUUAUUUUUAUACCAAAAUCUGAUAUGUUACAUUCUCCACCCCUUAAAAGAAUUUCGUCCGCGAAAUUCAAACCAUGCCUCAAUUCAGCUCCGCGAGCAAUU
rnacentral:lncRNA from 1 species